rnacentral:rRNA from 1 species
UACGUAGGGACCAAGCGUUGUUCGGAUUUACUGGGCGUAAAGGGCGCGUAGGCGGCGUGGUAAGUCACUUGUGAAAUCUCUGAGCUUAACUCAGAACGGCCAAGUGAUACUGCUGUGCUAGAGUGCAGAAGGGGCAAUCGGAAUUCUUGGUGUAGCGGUGAAAUGCGUAGAUAUCAAGAGGAACGCCUGAGGUGAAGACGGGUUGCUGGGCUGACACUGACGCUGAGGCGCGAAAGCCAGGGGAGCAAACGGG